rnacentral:rRNA from 1 species
GAUGAACGCUGGCGGCGUGCCUAAUACAUGCAAGUCGAGCGAACGGACGAGAAGCUUGCUUCUCUGAUGUUAGCGGCGGACGGGUGAGUAACACGUGGAUAACCUACCUAUAAGACUGGGAUAACUUCGGGAAACCGGAGCUAAUACCGGAUGAUAUUUUGAACCGCAUGGUUCAAAAGUGAAAGACGGUCUUGCUGUCACUUAUAGAUGGAUCCGCGCUGCAUUAGCUAGUUGGUAAGGUAACGGCUUACCAAGGCAACGAUGCAUAGCCGACCUGAGAGGGUGAUCGGCCACACUGGAACUGAGACACGGUCCAGACUCCUACGGGAGGCAGCAGUAGGGGAUCUUCCGCAAUGGGCGAAAGCCUGACGGAGCAACGCCGCGUGAGUGAUGAAGGUCUUCGGAUCGUAAAACUCUGUUAUUAGGGAAGAACAUAUGUGUAAGUAACUGUGCACAUCUUGACGGUACCUAAUCAGAAAGCCACGGCUAACUACGUGCCAGCAGCCGCGGUAAUACGUAGGUGGCAAGCGUUAUCCGGAAUUAUUGGGCGUAAAGCGCGCGUAGGCGGUUUUUUAAGUCUGAUGUGAAAGCCCACGGCUCAACCGUGGAGGGUCAUUGGAAACUGGAAAACUUGAGUGCAGAAGAGGAAAGUGGAAUUCCAUGUGUAGCGGUGAAAUGCGCAGAGAUAUGGAGGAACACCAGUGGCGAAGGCGACUUUCUGGUCUGUAACUGACGCUGAUGUGCGAAAGCGUGGGGAUCAAACAGGAUUAGAUACCCUGGUAGUCCACGCCGUAAACGAUGAGUGCUAAGUGUUAGGGGGUUUCCGCCCCUUAGUGCUGCAGCUAACGCAUUAAGCACUCCGCCUGGGGAGUACGACCGCAAGGUUGAAACUCAAAGGAAUUGACGGGGACCCGCACAAGCGGUGGAGCAUGUGGUUUAAUUCGAAGCAACGCGAAGAACCUUACCAAAUCUUGACAUCCUUUGACAACUCUAGAGAUAGAGCCUUCCCCUUCGGGGGACAAAGUGACAGGUGGUGCAUGGUUGUCGUCAGCUCGUGUCGUGAGAUGUUGGGUUAAGUCCCGCAACGAGCGCAACCCUUAAGCUUAGUUGCCAUCAUUAAGUUGGGCACUCUAAGUUGACUGCCGGUGACAAACCGGAGGAAGGUGGGGAUGACGUCAAAUCAUCAUGCCCCUUAUGAUUUGGGCUACACACGUGCUACAAUGGACAAUACAAAGGGCAGCGAAACCGCGAGGUCAAGCAAAUCCCAUAAAGUUGUUCUCAGUUCGGAUUGUAGUCUGCAACUCGACUACAUGAAGCUGGAAUCGCUAGUAAUCGUAGAUCAGCAUGCUACGGUGAAUACGUUCCCGGGUCU